rnacentral:rRNA from 1 species
UACGGGGGGGCAAGCGUUGUUCGGAAUUACUGGGCGUAAAGGGCUCGUAGGCGGCCAACUAAGUCAGACGUGAAAUCCCUCAGCUUAACUGGGGAACUGCGUCUGAUACUGGAUGGCUUGAGUUUGGGAGAGGGACGCGGAAUUCCAGGUGUAGCGGUGAAAUGCGUAGAUAUCUGGAGGAACACCGGUGGCGAAGGCGGCGUCCUGGACCAACACUGACACUGAUGAGCGAAAGCCAGGGAGCAACGGG